rnacentral:rRNA from 1 species
GCGGAGGAAAAGAAACUAACAAGGAUUCCCCUAGUAACUGCGAGUGAAGCGGGAAAAGCUCAAAUUUAAAAUCUGGCGGUCUUUGGCCGUCCGAGUUGUAGUCUGGAGAAGUYUCUUCCGCGUUGGACCGUGUACAAGUCUCUUGGAACAGAGCGUCAUAGAGGGUGAGAAUCCCGUCUUUGACACGGACUACCAAUGCUUUGUGAUGCGCUCUCAAAGAGUCGCGUUGUUUGGGAAUGCAGCGCAAAAUGGGAGGUGAAUUCCUUCUAAAGCUAAAUAUUGGCGAGAGACCGAUAGCGAACAAGUACCGUGAGGGAAAGAUGAAAAGCACUUUGGAAAGAGAGUUAAACAGUACGUGAAAUUGCUAAAAGGGAAACGCUUGAAGUCAGUCGCGUCGUCCGGAACUCAGCUUUGCUUCGGCUUAGUGCACUUUCCGGUUGACGGGCCAGCAUCGAUUUUGACCGCUGGAAAAGGGCUGGAGGAAUGUGGCACCUUCGGGUGUGUUAUAGCCUUCAGUCGCAUACAGCGGUUGGGAUCGAGGAACGCAGCGCGCCUUAUGGCUGGGGUUCGCCCACAUUCGCGCUUAGGAUGCUG